AAGACCGGGGCUCAACCUCGGAAAUGCAUUGGAUACUGGCAGACUGGAGUGCAGUAGAGGCUAGUGGAAUUCCCAGUGUAGCGGUGAAAUGCGUAGAUAUUGGGAAGAACACCGGUGGCGUAGGCGACUAGCUGGGCUGUAACUGACGCUGAGGAACGAAAGCCAGGGGAGCAAAUGGGAUUAGAUACCCCAGUAGUCCUGGCCGUAAAGCGAUGGAUACUAGGCGUAGUGGGUAUCGACCCCUGCAGUGCCGCAGCUAACGCGAUAAGUAUCCCGCAUGACUAGUACUGGCCGCAAUGGUUGAAAUCUCAAAGGAACUUGACCGGGGGCCCGCACAAAGCGGUGGAACAUGUGGUUUAAUUCGAAGCAACGCGAAGAACCUUACCAGGGCUUGACAUCUGUGGAAUCUUUCGGAAACGAGAGAGUGCUCGCAAGAGAGCCACAAGAUCAGGUGGUGCAUGGCUGUCGUCAGCUCGUGUCGUGAGAUGCUUGGGUUAAGUCCCGCAACGAGCGCAACCCCCGUUGUUAGUUGCCAUCAGGUAAAGCUGGGCACUCUAGCGAGACUGCCGGUGACAAACACGGAGGAAGGUGGGGACGACGUCAAGUCAUCAUGCCCUUUAUGCCCUGGGCUACACACGUGUUACAAUGGCCGGGACAAUGUGAUGCAAACUCGCGAGAGUGAGCGAAUCACCAAACCCGGUCUCAGUUCGGAUCGCAGGCUGCAACUCGCCUGCGUGAAGUC
rnacentral:rRNA from 1 species